UGGCGGCGCCCGUGGCCGGCUCUCGAGGGCCGCGGAAGAUGACGUCAGCAGAGGAGUGGGCUGGCUCGGCCGACCUACGCCCCCUUCGGCCCUGAAGCGGAUGGAACCCUGACGCGCCGGCUGGCUAGGGCUACCCCUUAACGGACGGGCGCCGGGGGGCGGCCAGGACGUCGGGGUCCCGCGCCGCUGGGAGCGAGGUUGUCGAGGUCAGAAAGACAUUUAGGGAAAUAUUUGCCAAAUAGAGUCGUGUGGGGUCCAGCUCUCGUCCGUUUCCUAGACAGCCCGCGUGCGCUGACCACCUGCCACGUGCCUGGCACUGUUCCAGUUGCUGGGGACACAGUGUGCUUUAUCCCGAGAAAGGACUGAGUGAUGAUGCCCGCGGCUGCUCCACGUCCUCGGGCUCAGCUGCAGGCGGCCUUCUCCAGCUUGGACCCGGACCUCAUCAUCUCCGGAAAGAGUGCCUGUGCACGAACCCCCCUUCAGAUCCCCCUCUGCCAAAGGACACCAGGCAGUGUUAAAGAGGGCUGCUAAAAGUUCUCUAGGCGGACUGUGCUGGUUCACCUCCCACAGUUGACACAGGCUUCCGAGUGUCAAUUGCUAAAUUUUCAGGAAUUUUAUAAGCUUGUCAUUAAACACUGCCAUUGUUAAAAAUGUAACUUCAGGGCUUCCCUGGUGGCGCAGUGGUUGAGAAUCCACCUGCCAGUGCAGGGGACACGGGUUCAAGCCCUGGUCCGGGAAGAUCCCACAUGCCGUGGAGCAACUAAGCCCGUGUGCCACAAUUACUGAGCCUGUGCUCUAGAGCCCGUGAGCCACAACUACUGGGACCGUGCGCCACAACUACUGAAGCCCACGUGCCUAGAGCCCGUGCUCCACAACAAGAGAAGCCACUGCAAUGAGAAGCCCGCGCACCGCAAUGAAGAGUAGCUCCCGCUCGCCGCAACUAGAGAAAGCCCGCGUGCAGCAACAAAGACCCAAUGCAGCCAAAAAUAAAUAAAUAAAAUAAAUUUUUAAAAAAAUGUAA